rnacentral:lncRNA from 1 species
GUAUACAGUUUGUUUCUUUUACUGGAUGUUGCAGAACGCUAAAUCUGCAGGACUAGAUGGAAAAACAAAGUUGGGCAGAGCUUCUCCAUCUAGUCUGAUAAAACUUCCUAUUCAAGAGAAAGUGACUAAGGGUCAACAGCAAUUACUUCAAAACUUAUUUUACUAUGUCAAUACCUGAAAACAUAUAUUUUAAAAGAUGAACAUACAAAGUCCAAAUAAAGUCAUUUUUUAAAACUUUAUUAUUGUUUACCAAUGGGGAGAUGCAGUUUAUUUACACCAGCAGCCAUAGGGGCAAGGGGAAUACACAGUUAAGUCAGCAAUCUGUAUAGGAUGGACUACUUAUGCAAAAAUAAGAAUCUCCAAAACAAAGGACAGUGGUGGGCUUCACUACACUUCCCCAAUGAUCCCAGCAUGCGACAAUGCCAGGCAAUGGCCCCAGGCAUGCGGUGGUGGAAAGUAACGUAUGGAAGAAAAAGCCACAAACCACAGAAAUUUGUAAAGAACCCCUUUCCCCCCAUACACACACACACUCAGAUACAUAAUAGAAUUACACGGUGAUCAAUACACUAAUUGAACAGGGAGGGAGAGAAAUUCUGCUGUUAGAGGGAAGAUAGGUAGGCAAAGGGAGAGUUCCUAACCACUGUCAACUACAUGGUAGGGAGUAUUCUCUCCCCAAAAAGACUUUGUCCCCUCAGGGCACCUGUUGGACCUAGCACACCUUACACCCAUCCAGGGCAGGAGGCUACUGCCCUAAUAGUGGGGGGCAAAAAAAUAAAAACUAAAACCAAGAGGGAGGUAACGUGAACCAACCAUUACUCAAAACUACUCCCCACUUCUUCCUCCUCUAACAGGAGAAAAGGCCAGAAAGGAAACAGUAAUGUCACAGUCUGCACUCCCUCUCUGAAGGAAGAGUGGACCAUGGUCCUAUCUUCAGCCUGUUUCUCAGACAUUAUUUAAAAUUAGGCCAGUCUCACUUAAAACCUCCUUACUCUCUGUAUCCCCUUAGAAUGAGAUGUUUACAAAAAGGGCAGAUAACCCCAAAAAAGCAAGAUAUUUUAGCUCUUGCUUUUUUUUUAAAGUUAUCACAAUUCUUGGAUUGAAGACCAAUCUGUAACUAGGUCCUGACCCUAAGCACGACAACUCUGGGGGAGAAUGCAGUAACAGAUAGUCUUGAGGCCUUAUUACUAUGGUUCCCUUAAUCCUCUAAAGUAUGUAACCCAAAUCAGUCCACAUGGUCCAAACGGUUCCUUCUGGGAUAAGGAAGGAUACAUGCACAGCAAGGGUUAAAGAAAACGCAUCAGGACCAACUCCAUCCCUGUGUGUGUCAGCCAGCCUUGACUGCUCUUCUGCCUAAGUCCUAAGAGGCGGUAUCCAAGUGGAGGCGGGGAGAUAUGACUCCUCAGGAAGUAAGACAGAGCAGGAAGGCAUACUAGCAAGGCAGUCCUAUAGGAGAAAUGCUUAGGUGUGACACUGCCUUUCAUAUACAAAAACUUAGGUUCCUUUCUCAUCCUAAGCCUAACACAGAAAGCCAUAAGAAAGAUUCUUCUGAGUCUCCCACACAAACAAGAAGAAAAAAACAUAAGAAACUUAAAAGAAGCCAAGGAAAGGGAAACUGGGCAGGCUUCAGAAGCAGGAGCAUCAAGAGAUGAAAUGAAACUGGUCAAUGUGAAAGCAGGGUGGCAGGCAGCACCUGGGGUCAUGAGCUGCACCAAAUAGGCAGUGGAGCAGGGACGUGUGGCCAAGCCAGAGAGAUGAGGCUGGGUCCCUUACUAGGGCACAGAAUGAGGUAAGAAAACAUUUCAAAUAGAGCAGCACCGUUCCCGCUCACCUUGGGGCUCCCAUCCCUCUACACUUCAUAAACCCUCCAUCAGGGAGUAAAGUGGAGGGUAAUUCUGAUAUGCGGCUCACACUUCCCAUCCUCCCCAUCCCAUUCCCUGAAACCAGGGCAUUUCUGGAGGCCCUUUCCUGACUUCCAACAACAAAAGGACAGCUCUUGUAAAGAAGGUCCAAAGGGGACCCAGUGGAGAGGGCUGCCCCUUGUGAGAGGCAGAGAGUGACGUGUCUAGAUGUUCACCACAGCAGAGCUUUGUGACUGCCCAACCCAAGGAACAGGGGCAUUCAACAGGAUACUGCACAGUCAGAUGAGAUGACCCAGUCCUGCUCCUUGGCUCCUAGCACUAACCCAUUCACAUUACUGAGGGCAGCUGGAAGAGGUCCUCUCCGGGCUUAGCUUUCAAACCACAACCUCCUGCACAGCCAUGAUGCUCUUCUACAGUUCAGUCUUGCCCCUGGGGUGGAAGGCAGUUAGUGACCUGGCAUAAGGACCAAGUCAGGCUCACAAACUGGCUAGAUAACUAGUAACAGAGUAGGAAAAUGACUGCCCCACCAAACGCUUGUCCACAGCAUAAUGGAUCCAGAUAUGAAUCUUGCAGUUUGAGAGAUCGUGCAUAGUUGCAGAGGCCCCCACUACUUCCCCAAGAGAUCAUAACUAAAUUCUCAGCCUGCCUGGAUAACCAAGGGGUCCAUUUGCCAAGCCUAUGCCACAAGGUGGGGUGCCAGAAAGAGGGAUCUGUUCAGCAGAAGGCUAGACUUUGUCCCCAAGACCGCUGUAGUCACUGUAAAUGCUGGACCUCUGGGAAACUGGUGGCUUUGACCUUUUCUCUCGUUGGAGCCAAGACCACAGAGCUUCGCCUACCAGAUUCAGCCGGGAAUUCUCUCUCUUGGUUUUCCCAAAUUGUAAUUGUUAACAUCCAGACCUCAUACCUGACCUUCAUUUGUCUCGGCGAAGGCCAAAUCAGAGGAACCAAAGGAUUUUAUAUGCUGGGCACACAGCCACACACCUGUGCACUGGGGACAGUACUGGGAUCUUGCGCACUUCCUGGUGUGUUUACAGAUCAACCUGUAUUGCAUGGCGCGCGGGACGCACAGCUCCUCCUGCCCGGGAUUUCAAAGCCGACCCCAAGUAACAGACUUAUAAAAGGAUCCUAAUUCCUAAAUUCUCCACUUUGGGUUUAUAAAGGCUAGGAUCUUCAAUGGGAAUUGGGACUGUUGUCUGAGUUUUUUUUCCUACUCAGCUACCUAAAUUCUCCAAUCCACAAGACCAGUCUGCGUCCCUGUCCUGGUCACCCCCAGACUCGCUCAUGCUGCAGCUACUGGAAUUCUGGGGGUGAGCGCUGCAGCUGCUGAUCCGGCCCGCUCCCGGCCUCCGCGGGGAGGGAGCACAGCGGGAGGCGGCACGCUCCCUUCUCCUCCACGGGCUGGAUGCCAAAAUCCUUCACGUUCCCGGUCUCCGCGAACUCCAGGUAGAAGUAGCCACACUUGACGGCCCGGUGCACCUCAAAGCAGAAGCCCAAGCAGGAAUCCUCUAUCAGGUCUACGUAUAUCUCCUGCGCGAUGGCCUCCAGCUUGUUGGUGUCCAGGUUGGCCAGGGAGAUCUCCUCCAUCUUAACCCGGGGGCGGCGGCGGGUCCCGGCGGGAGGGUCUGGGACGCGGAGGCCCGGCUGGGGGGCUCGGCCGCGGGGCCCGGCCGG